CACACACACACACACACACUCCUGCACACGCCAUCUACACUCUACUAUUUCCACAUCUCUAUAAAAAACACCAUAAAGAUAUCACUAUAAUUCGAGUCUAAACAAACUAACCUCCCAUCAGAGGCUUAUUUCGUGUGUACGGACUCGAAUGGAGGCCGUUAGAUAUAAACCCAUUUUCUAGACGCAACACACACGUGGGAUCGGUGAUAUAACAGCAUGGCGCGCGGCAGAAUUGCUACACACACGACACGGCCAUCGAAGUGAAAUAAAUAUAAAUGAUCAUCAGUGAAGAGAGCAGCGUGAGUGUAGAAAAAGCACUGGAUUUAAAUCGAGUGCCGUAUGAAGAGGUAUAGAUAACGCUGCUUGCUUAUAAUCUGACUGGAGACUCUAUCAAGUUGAAACGUUCUGCGCUUAUUAUUAUGGAUUAGCACUAGCUAAACGUGUCCAUUAUAGGCAACUCGUCAGUUAGAACGUGAGCUAGAUAUGUGCAAUGGAUAUAAAAAGUCUAUACACCCCUGUUAAAAACAUGUCAAAAAGAAUCAUGUAAAAACAGGGGUGUGUAGACUUUUAGUAUCUAUCGCAACGGGGGUGUGUAGACUUUUAGUAUCUAUCGCAACGGGGGUGUGUAGACUUUAAGUAUCUAUCGUAACGGGGGUGUGUAGACUUUAGUAUCUAUCGUAACGGGGUGUGUAGACUUUUAUUAUCUAUCGUAACGGGGGUGUGUAGACUUUUAGUAUCUAACGUAACAGGGUGUGUAGACUUUUAUUAUCUAUCGUAACGGGGGUGUGUAGACUUUUAUUAUCUAUCGUAACGGGGUGUGUAGACUUUUAUUAUCUAUCGUAACGGGGGUGUGUAGACAUUUAGUAUCUAUCGUAACGGGGUGUGUAGACUUUUAGUAUCUAUCGUAACGGGGGUGUGUAGACUUUUAGUAUCUAUCGUAACGGGGGUCUGUAGACUUUUACUAUCUAUUGUAACAGGGCUGUGUAGACUUUUAGUAUCUAUUGUAACGGGGGUGUGUAGACUUUUAGUAUCUAUCGUAACGGGGGUGUGUAGACUUUUAUUAUCUAUCGUAACGGGGGUGUGUAGACUUUUACUAUCUAUUGUAACAGGGCUGUGUAGACUUUUAGUAUCUAUCGUAACGGGGGUGUGUAGACUUUUAGUAUCUAUCGUAACGGGGGUGUGUAGACUUUUAGUAUCUAUUGUAACGGGAGUGUGUUAGACUUUUAAUAUCCGUCAUAACUAAUAUCAUGAUGCAGGUUUUAGGCGUGCUGAGUAAGUUUGAUAAAGUUAAAUAUACUCUUACACACUCAGGCGUCUUUAGACUUCACAUCGAUAUUUAGAAGUAUAAGGUCCCUUCAUAUAAUAAUUUAGUGUCAAGACUGAAGUGUACAUUUUUGAUUUUUUUUCCCUCCCAAAACAGCAUGCACCACGAGCAUCUUGUUCCUCUUACACGCUAACAAUUUUAAUUUUUUUAAAAAAACGACACGCCCUAAUCUUAUCCGUUUACACAUAUAUGUAAUGUCAUGGGACGUCCACAAACGAGUUAGAGAGAGAGAGAGUCAGGCACAAUUCGAAGACGCUGAAGUCUCCUGCUUUCAUGAAAGCAUUAAAAGAUGACCCGAGGCGAUGAGAAAACGACUGAACGUUGAGCCGAGAGUGAGACGGGUCAUCCUGUGUUCACCCUGGACAGCGCACGAAGACAAAUGGACACCGGUUUCUGUAGCCAGUCAGAGAACACUCAUCUAUUAAUGCUAACCAAAAAAAAUCUUUCCCCAAUGCUAGAUCGACGUCAAUCUGUCCUGACCCAAAGGUCAAAGGCGAGCCUGUAAGAGGAAAAGAAGGAGGACUUCAUCGCCACAACAUGCGCUUAUCAGAACAUGCUGACAAACUGACAGAGACACAGAGAGACAAAGGGACACGCAGUUCAGGCAUAAUGGCCGUCAAUUAGCAGCGUUUAAGUGUUCGAGUCGAGGCAGAGAAGCGGCGGCGAGGGCGGAGGGCAAUAAAGACAAACAAGUGUCACAAAGAAAGCGCACAAAGCAUCCGCCGUCGAGCCGAGCGCACGGUUCCAUGUCCAAACGCCCGACAGUUAUAAAAGCACCGAUUCUGCUUCACGGUGUCAACAAAGACGAGGCGAGUCAUUACCGACGACUGAACGCACGCAGACGUGACGAGACCAUCUUUUGUCAGGGAAGGGAAGUAUCGGCACCCGACAGCUCAAUUCAUAUCCCCGAUUGAGACACAAUUUAUUCUCAUUACCUGCAGUCUAUCCUCAUAUUCUCACACACUCGAGCCAUUAGGCUACUGCCACAACAGAACAUAUCGUUUAUUGAUCCAAAACAUAAAUUCACUUAACGUAACCUGAACGUGAUUUAAUCCAGUAAACUCCGCUGGUCAUGAUCAGAUAAUACCUGUUUAAUCCAGUUCUGAUCUGCUGUAAAAUUUACAUGGAGUUGACGUGCAAAAGGUAAACGUUUUGAGAUAUAUAUAUAUAUAUAUAUAUAUAUAUACAUAUACCAGGAACUGCUUUAGUCCCAACAUUCAGCUGGAAUGAUCAGUUAUCAGUGGAUAUGACGCACUACUGCGCAGGGUCUUAAACUCCUCCCUGUUCUACGCUAUGUAUUGAGCAUGUAUAGUGAUUUUUUCUUUCUCUCUCUCUCUUUUUUUUUUUUUUACACGGAUCCCAAAUGUAUCACUAGCAAAGAGAACAUUUUGCUCGCAUCCGAAACGUGAUUAAAACGAUGACGUGAUUUUACUUAAAUAAGAUCUUGCCAUCUAUCAAAGGAGCGCAUCAUUUGCAUCUUGUAAACAAACAAACAAAAACAAACAAACAAAUACGAUACUUUUCAUCUUUUGCUAUUUAAGAGUAGAAAGAAUGCGUAGUAUUGCGUUAUCGAUACUGGGUCUGGGGCAAUAAAUAAAUGAUCGGCUCAUUAUAAUUCAAACAACACACACACACACACACACACACACACACACACACACAGACAACAACAAACACCCCCAAGAAAGAACUAACUUAACCUCAAAAACGCUCGCCAACAUCUGGGACAAAGCCGAGGCAAUGUGAGGGAAAACAGACAGACGGAGGGAAAUGGAAGAUAGAAGGCCAGAGGAAAGUCCCAGUAAGCCUGUGUGUGUGUGUGUGUGUGUGUGUGUGUGUGUGUGUGUGUGUGUGUGUGUAUAGCCGCUCUCCGUCUCGCUGGCAGCAGCUGAAAACAGGUCGAUCGAUGGCUUUACUGGAGGAAUAUUUAAUCAGAGAGCGGUCCAGCACACUGCUCAGCUGUGCACUCCCAACACAGUCACAUUAUUAUGCUGAAAGGAGUUCCAGUGUGUUCACACACACACACACACACACACCCACACACACACACGAACAGAACGGACGAGGGGAAUGACAAAACAGCCACGGAAGAAAGAAACGCCUAAAUGUCGACCAUUACACAAGUAUGUUUAAUAAUGUCCUGGAGAGUAGGGUAAACAAAAAAAGGGUUGCGGGAAGCCUGGAGCCUAUCCCAGGGGACUUGGAGCACAAGGGGGGACGGGGGACACCCUGGACGGGGAUGUUAUACACAUACGUCCCGGAGGGGAGAAAGAAAAAGAUAGAGAGAGAACGAAAGACUGGGCCGUCAAAACAAGCCGGCGAGAAAACAAGCAGCAGACAACAGGAGUGAUUAAAGGGAGGAUGAAUUCCUCCGUCCUCUCUCCGAUUCAAACAUCUUCCUCCUUCGGCACAGAGCCAUCAGCCGUCCACCGUGCUCUUCUCUUCCUUCUUCUCCAUGUCUCUAUUACGAAACAGCAC
ensembl:lncRNA